rnacentral:rRNA from 1 species
GUGAACGCUGGCGGUAGGCCUAACCCCUGCAAGUCGAACGGCAGCACAGUAAGCGCUUGCUCUUACGGGUGGCGAGUGGCGGACGGGUGAGGAAUACAUCGGAAUCUACUUUUUCGUGGGGGAUAACGUAGGGAAACUUACGCUAAUACCGCAUACGACCUACGGGUGAAAGCCGUGGAUCUUCGGACCUUGCGCGAUUGAAUGAGCCGAUGUCGGAUUAGCUAGUUGGCGGGGUAAAGGCCCACCAAGGCGACGAUCCGUAGCUGGUCUGAGAGGAUGAUCAGCCACACUGGAACUGAGACACGGUCCAGACUCCUACGGGAGGCAGCAGUGGGGAAUAUUGGACAAUGGGCGCAAGCCUGAUCCAGCCAUACCGCGUGGGUGAAGAAGGCCUUCGGGUUGUAAAGCCCUUUUGUUGGGAAAGAAAAGCAGCAGGUUAAUACCCCGCUGUUCUGACGGUACCAAAAGAAUAAGCACCGGCUAACUUCGUG